rnacentral:rRNA from 1 species
GAUGAACGCUAGCUACAGGCUUAACACAUGCAAGUCGAGGGACCGGCGCACGGGUGAAUAACACGUAUACCACCUGCCCUUUACUCGGGGAUAGCCUUUAGCAAGAAAGAUUAAUACCAGAUGUAAAGGACGGGGAUGCGUUCCAUUAGGUUGUUGGUGAGGUAACGGCUCACCAAGCCUUCGAUGGAUAGGGGUUCUGAGAGGAAGGUCCCCCACAUUGUAUCUGAGACACGGUCCAAACUCGUACGGGGUGCAGCAGUGUGGAAUAUUGGUCGAUGGGCGUUAGCCUGAACCUGCCAAGUGGCGGGAAGGAUGAAGGCUUAUGGGUCGUAAACUUCUUUUAUAUAAGAAUAUGUCUUAUCUGAAUAAGGAUCGGCUAACUCCGUGCCAGCAGCCGCGGUAAUUC